UACGAAAGGUGCAAGCGUUGUUCGGAAUUAUUGGGCGUAAAGCGCACGCAGGCGGAAUCGUAAGUCGAUUGUGAAAUCCCCGGGCUCAACCUGGGAAUUGCAGUCGAAACUGCGAAUCUUGAAUAUCUGAGAGGGUGGGAGAAUUCCUGGUGGAGAAGUGAAAUUCGUAGAGAUCAGGAGGAAUACCGGAGGCGAAGGCGCCUACCUGGCAGAAUAUUGACGCUCAGGUGCGAAAGCGUGGGGAGCAAACAGGAUUAGAUACCCUGGUAGUCCACGCCAUAAACGAUGGUUACUAGGUGUUCGGUGGACUAACCCACUGAGUACCAAAGCUCACGCAUUAAGUAACCCGCCUGGGGAGUACGGUCGCAAGGCUAAA
rnacentral:rRNA from 1 species